rnacentral:rRNA from 1 species
CCUACGGGGGGCAGCAGUGGGGAAUAUUGCACAAUGGGCGCAAGCCUGAUGCAGCCAUGCCGCGUGUGUGAAGAAGGCCUUCGGGUUGUAAAGCACUUUCAGCGGGGAGGAAGGCGGUGAGGUUAAUAACCUCAUCGAUUGACGUUACCCGCAGAAGAAGCACCGGCUAACUCCGUGCCAGCAGCCGCGGUAAUACGGAGGGUGCAAGCGUUAAUCGGAAUUACUGGGCGUAAAGCGCACGCAGGCGGUCUGUCAAGUCAGAUGUGAAAUCCCCGGGCUCAACCUGGGAACUGCAUUCGAAACUGGCAGGCUAGAGUCUUGUAGAGGGGGGUAGAAUUCCAGGUGUAGCGGUGAAAUGCGUAGAGAUCUGGAGGAACACCGGUGGCGAAGGCGGCCCCCUGGACAAAGACUGACGCUCAGGUGCGAAAGCGUGGGGAGCAAACAGGAUUAGAUACCCUUGUAGUC